rnacentral:rRNA from 1 species
CAGUAGCCGCGGUAAUACGAGGGGAGCUAGCGUUGUUCGGAAUUACUGGGCGUAAAGCGCGCGUAGGCGGCUUUUUAAGUCAGAGGUGAAAGCCCGGGGCUCAACCCCGGAAUUGCCUUUGAAACUGGAAAGCUAGAAUCUUGGAGAGGUCAGUGGAAUUCCGAGUGUAGAGGUGAAAUUCGUAGAUAUUCGGAAGAACACCAGUGGCGAAGGCGACUGACUGGACAAGUAUUGACGCUGAGGUGCGAAAGCGUGGGGAGCAAACAGGAUUAGAUACCCGUGUAGUCCCUGUCUCUUAUAA